rnacentral:rRNA from 1 species
GACGAACGCUGGCGGCGUGCCUAAUACAUGCAAGUCGAACGCUGAAGAGAGGAGCUUGCUCUUCUUGGAUGAGUUGCGAACGAGUGAGUAACGCGUAGGUAACCUGCCUUGUAGCGGGGGAUAACUAUUUGAAGCGAUAGCUAAUACCACAUCACAAUGGAUGACACAUGUCAUUUAUGUGACAGGAGCAGUUGCUCCACUACAAGAUGGAACUGCGUUGUAUUGGGUCGUAGGUGAGGUAAUGGCUCACCUAGGCGAGGUUACAUAGCCGACCUCAGAGGGUGCGCGGCCAAGCUGGGACGGAGACACGGCCCAGACUCCUAGGAGAGGGAGCAGGAGCGGAUCUUCGGCAAUGGGGGCAACGCUGAACAUGGAACGCCGCGUGAGUGUAGAAGGUUUCCGGGUCGUGAAGGUCUGGAAGUAGUCAAGAACGGGUGUGAGAGUGGAAAGUGCACACAGUGACGGUAGCUGACCAGAAAGGGCCGGCUAACUACGUG